UUUUGUUGGGUACAGGGUAUUCAUGGUCAAGUACCGUAUUGAUGUUUCAUACACUUUUCUGGAUUUCGAGUUAUUUUGUAAUUCAUCGUUCUCAUUUGGAGUCAAACGAACUGUAGUGUCAAAUAUUGUACUGAAUUAAAUACUACUUUGAGAAAACCCAACAUGUAUAUCUGAACGUAAAUAUGUUAUGAACAAUUGUUCUGGUAGAUCGAUAUACCAGGAGUACUGGUUCCUGUACAACAAUGAACCCAGGAUGAGGACUGUAUUUCCUUCCCACGGUCAAUUUCUGCAUAUUAUGAAUUUUUAUUCCCCUGCACUAUUUGAUACCUAGGACUAAUUUUAUCCAUAAAACUGUGUCUUCCUUGUAGGACUAAUUCAUUGCUCAUAUAUACAUGCAAUUUGACAUUAUCUGGCAGCUCAUAGCCAUGACUGAAGAUUAGGGACAUUAGGCAUAUGAAUACUAGUAUCUUAUAAGUGAGUGAGUUAAAAUUUAACGUCGCAUCGGCAUUAUUUCAGCCAUAUAGCGACGAGACCAAGCUAAUAUAUACACAAUUUAGUUAUUUAUGCAAUGUCAUAUUUAAAAACAAUUAGUAUCUUAUAAAGGAAGCUGGAGACAUGAUACGUUUUGUUUUAUUGUUGUACUGCAUCAUGGGUUAAUAGUGAGUGUGUAUGGUUUUAUGCCACUUUCAGCAAUAUUCCAGGAAUAUCACGGCGCGGGACACCAGAAAUGGGCUUCACACAUUGUACCCGGGUCCUUGGCAUAACGAGCAAACACUUUAACCACUAGGCUACCUGACCGCCCCUCAUGUGUUAAUAAAUUGUGCAUAUAAAUGUUAUCAUAUAAGAUAGCAAGAUGUUUGUUUGUUUGUUUGUUUGCACUUAGAAAUAUUCCAACUAUAUGACGGCGGUCUGUAAUUAAUCGAGUCUGGACAAGACAAUCCAGUGAUUGACACCAUGAGCAUCAAUCCACGUUAUUGGGAUACGAUGACAUACAUCAACCAAGUCAGUGACCCUGACCACCCGAUCACAUUAGUCGCCUCUUAUGAAAAGCAUAGUUGCCUUUUACAGCAAGCAUGGGUUGCUGAAGACCAAUUCUACACCGGAUCUUCACGGGUCAUAGCAAGAUGUAUUGCAUAAGACUAGCUAUAUGGCUAGGAUUAUCUGAAACAUGCCAUGUCACCAGCUGUACUUCCAUGUGUAUUGUAUUUUGAAUCCCAUCCAAAUUGGGUGAGACCUGAUGAUAUUAGACAUUAUUGUAGUGACAGUGAGAUGUAACCAAUCUAAGAGCAUGAAUGUAAUGAUUUGACAGUGAGAGGUAACCAAUCUAAGAGUAUGAGUGUUAUGAUGUGACAGUGAGCAGUAACCAGUCUAAGAGCAUGAAUGUCAUGUGACAGUGAGAGGUAACCAAUCUAAGAGUAUGAGUGUCAUGAUGUGACAGUGAGAGGUAACGUAUCUUAGAGCAUGAAUGUUAUGAUGUGACAGUGAGAAGUAACCUAUCUUAGAGCAUGAAUGUUAUGAUGUGACAGUGAGAAGUAACCAGUCUAAGAGUAUGCAUGUCAUGUGACAGUGAGAGGUAACCAAUCUAAGAGUAUGAGUGUUAUGAUGUGACAGUGAGCAGUAACCAGUCUAAGAGUAUGCAUGUCAUGUGACAGUGAGAGGUAACCAAUCUAAGAGUAUGAAUAUCAUGUGACAGUGAGCAGUAACCAGUCUAAGAGUAUGCAUGUCAUGUGACAGUGAGAGGUAACCAAUCUAAGAGUAUGAGUGUUAUGAUGUGACAGUGAGCAGUAACCAGUCUAAGAGCAUGAAUGUCAUGUGACAGUGAGAAGUAACCAAUCUAAGAGUAUGAGUGUUAUCAUGUGACAGUGAGAGGUAACCAAUCUUAGAGCAUGAAUAAUAUGAUGUGACAGUGAGAAGUAGCCAAUCUAAGAGUAUGAAUGUCAUGUGACAGUGAAAGGUAACCAAUCUAAGAGUAUGAGUGUUAUGAUGUGAGCAGUAACCAGUCUAAGAGCAUGAAUGUCAUGUGACAGUGAAAGGUAACCAAUCUAAGAGUAUGAGUGUUAUGAUGUGACAGUGAGAGGUAACCUAUCUUAGAGCAUGAAUGUUAUGAUGUGACAGUGAAAGGUAACCUAUCUUAGAGCAUGAAUGUUAUGAUGUGACAGUGAGAAGUAGCCAAUCUAAGAGUAUGAAUGUCAUGUGACAGUGAAAGGUAACCAAUCUAAGAGUAUGAGUGUUAUGAUGUGAGCAGUAACCAGUCUAAGAGCAUGAAUGUCAUGUGACAGUGAAAGGUAACCAAUCUAAGAGUAUGAGUGUUAUGAUGUGACAGUGAGAGGUAACCAAUCUAAGAGUAUGAGUGUCAUGAUGUGACAGUGAGAGGUAACCUAUCUUAGAGCAUGAAUGUUAUGAUGUGACAGUGAAAGGUAACCUAUCUUAGAGUAUGCAUGUCAUGUGACAGUGAGAGGUAACGUAUCUUAGAGCAUGAAUGUUAUGAUGUGACAGUGAGAGGUAACCUAUCUUAGAGUAUGCAUGUCAUGUGACAGUGAGAGGUAACCAAUCUAAGAGUAUGAGUGUUAUGAUGUGACAGUGAGAAGUAGCCAAUCUAAGAGCAUGAAUGUCAUGUGACAGUGAGAGGUAACCAAUCUAAGAGUAUGAGUGUCAUGAUGUGACAGUGAGAAGUAGCCAAUCUAAGAGUAUGAGUGUCAUGAUGUGACAGUGAGAGGUAACCUAUCUUAGAGCAUGAAUGUUAUGAUGUGACAGUGAGAAGUAGCCAAACUAAGAGUAUGAGUGUCAUGAUGUGACAGUGAAAGGUAACCAAUCUAAGAGCAUGAAUGUUAUGAUGUGACAGUGAGAAGUAGCCAAACUAAGAGCAUGAAUAUCAUGUGACAGUGAGCAGUAACCAGUCUAAGAGUAUGCAUGUCAUGUGACAGUGAGAGGUAACCAAUCUAAGAGUAUGAGUGUUAUGAUGUGACAGUGAGCAGUAACCAGUCUAAGAGCAUGAAUGUCAUGUGACAGUGAGAGGUAACCAAUCUAAGAGUAUGAGUGUUAUGAUGUGACAGUGAGAGGUAACCUAUCUUAGAGCAUGAAUGUUAUGAUGUGACAGUGAGAAGUAGCCAAUCUAAGAGUAUGAGUGUCAUGUGACAGUGAGAGGUAACCAAUCUAAGAGCAUGAAUGUCAUGUGACAGUGAGAGGUAACCAAUCUAAGAGUAUGAGUGUUAUGAUGUGACAGUGAGAAGUAGCCAAUCUAAGAGCAUGAAUGUCAUGUGACAGUGAGAGGUAACCAAUCUAAGAGUAUGAGUGUUAUGAUGUGACAGUGAGCAGUAACCAGUCUAAGAGCAUGAAUGUCAUGUGACAGUGAGAGGUAACCAAUCUAAGAGUAUGAGUGUUAUGAUGUGACAGUGAGAGGUAACCUAUCUUAGAGCAUGAAUGUUAUGAUGUGACAGUGAGAAGUAGCCAAUCUAAGAGUAUGAGUGUCAUGUGACAGUGAGAGGUAACCAAUCUAAGAGCAUGAAUGUCAUGUGACAGUGAGAGGUAACCAAUCUAAGAGUAUGAGUGUUAUGAUGUGACAGUGAGAAGUAGCCAAUCUAAGAGCAUGAAUGUCAUG